rnacentral:rRNA from 1 species
UACGGGAGGCAGCAGUGGGGAAUAUUGCACAAUGGGCGAAAGCCUGAUGCAGCUAUGCCGCGUGUAUGAAGAAGGCCUUCGGGUUGUAAAGUACUUUCAGUCGUGAGGAAGGUGUUAAGGUUAAUAACCUUAGCAAUUGACGUUAGCGACAGAAGAAGCACCGGCUAACUCCGUGCCAGCAGCCGCGGUAAUACGGAGGGUGCGAGCGUUAAUCGGAAUUACUGGGCGUAAAGGGCACGCAGGCGGUUAAUUAAGUUGGAUGUGAAAUCCCCGGGCUUAACCUGGGAAUGGCAUUCAAGACUGGUUAGCUAGAGUCUUGUAGAGGGGGUAGAAUUCCAUGUGUAGCGGUGAAAUGCGUAGAGAUGUGGAGGAAUACCGGUGGCGAAGGCGGCCCCUGGGACAAAGACUGACGCUCAUGUGCGAAAGCGUGGGGAGCAAACAGGGAUUAGAUACC